GGUUAAGCGACUAAGCGUACACGGUGGAUGCCCUGGCAGUCAGAGGCGAUGAAGGACGUGCUAAUCUGCGAUAAGCGUCGGUAAGGUGAUAUGAACCGUUAUAACCGGCGAUUUCCGAAUGGGGAAACCCAGUGUGUUUCGACACACUAUCAUUAACUGAAUCCAUAGGUUAAUGAGGCGAACCGGGGGAACUGAAACAUCUAAGUACCCCGAGGAAAAGAAAUCAACCGAGAUUCCCCCAGUAGCGGCGAGCGAACGGGGAGCAGCCCAGAGCCUGAAUCAGUGUGUGUGUUAGUGGAAGCGUCUGGAAAGGCGCGCGAUACAGGGUGACAGCCCCGUACACAAAAAUGCACAUGCUGUGAGCUCGAUGAGUAGGGCGGGACACGUGGUAUCCUGUCUGAAUAUGGGGGGACCAUCCUCCAAGGCUAAAUACUCCUGACUGACCGAUAGUGAACCAGUACCGUGAGGGAAAGGCGAAAAGAACCCCGGCGAGGGGAGUGAAAAAGAACCUGAAACCGUGUACGUACAAGCAGUGGGAGCACGCUUAGGCGUGUGACUGCGUACCUUUUGUAUAAUGGGUCAGCGACUUAUAUUCUGUAGCAAGGUUAACCGAAUAGGGGAGCCGAAGGGAAACCGAGUCUUAACUGGGCGUUAAGUUGCAGGGUAUAGACCCGAAACCCGGUGAUCUAGCCAUGGGCAGGUUGAAGGUUGGGUAACACUAACUGGAGGACCGAACCGACUAAUGUUGAAAAAUUAGCGGAUGACUUGUGGCUGGGGGUGAAAGGCCAAUCAAACCGGGAGAUAGCUGGUUCUCCCCGAAAGCUAUUUAGGUAGCGCCUCGUGAAUUCAUCUCCGGGGGUAGAGCACUGUUUCGGCAAGGGGGUCAUCCCGACUUACCAACCCGAUGCAAACUGCGAAUACCGGAGAAUGUUAUCACGGGAGACACACGGCGGGUGCUAACGUCCGUCGUGAAGAGGGAAACAACCCAGACCGCCAGCUAAGGUCCCAAAGUCAUGGUUAAGUGGGAAACGAUGUGGGAAGGCCCAGACAGCCAGGAUGUUGGCUUAGAAGCAGCCAUCAUUUAAAGAAAGCGUAAUAGCUCACUGGUCGAGUCGGCCUGCGCGGAAGAUGUAACGGGGCUAAACCAUGCACCGAAGCUGCGGCAGCGACGCUUAUGCGUUGUUGGGUAGGGGAGCGUUCUGUAAGCCUGUGAAGGUGUGCUGUGAGGCAUGCUGGAGGUAUCAGAAGUGCGAAUGCUGACAUAAGUAACGAUAAAGCGGGUGAAAAGCCCGCUCGCCGGAAGACCAAGGGUUCCUGUCCAACGUUAAUCGGGGCAGGGUGAGUCGACCCCUAAGGCGAGGCCGAAAGGCGUAGUCGAUGGGAAACAGGUUAAUAUUCCUGUACUUGGUGUUACUGCGAAGGGGGGACGGAGAAGGCUAUGUUGACCGGGCGACGGUUGUCCCGGUUUAAGCGUGUAGGCUGGUUUUCCAGGCAAAUCCGGAAAAUCAAGGCUGAGGCGUGAUGACGAGGCACUACGGUGCUGAAGCAACAAAUGCCCUGCUUCCAGGAAAAGCCUCUAAGCAUCAGGUAACAUCAAAUCGUACCCCAAACCGACACAGGUGGUCAGGUAGAGAAUACCAAGGCGCUUGAGAGAACUCGGGUGAAGGAACUAGGCAAAAUGGUGCCGUAACUUCGGGAGAAGGCACGCUGAUAUGUAGGUGAAGUCCCUCGCGGAUGGAGCUGAAAUCAGUCGAAGAUACCAGCUGGCUGCAACUGUUUAUUAAAAACACAGCACUGUGCAAACACGAAAGUGGACGUAUACGGUGUGACGCCUGCCCGGUGCCGGAAGGUUAAUUGAUGGGGUCAGCGCAAGCGAAGCUCUUGAUCGAAGCCCCGGUAAACGGCGGCCGUAACUAUAACGGUCCUAAGGUAGCGAAAUUCCUUGUCGGGUAAGUUCCGACCUGCACGAAUGGCGUAAUGAUGGCCAGGCUGUCUCCACCCGAGACUCAGUGAAAUUGAACUCGCUGUGAAGAUGCAGUGUACCCGCGGCAAGACGGAAAGACCCCGUGAACCUUUACUAUAGCUUGACACUGAACAUUGAGCCUUGAUGUGUAGGAUAGGUGGGAGGCUUAGAAGUGUGGACGCCAGUCUGCAUGGAGCCGACCUUGAAAUACCACCCUUUAAUGUUUGAUGUUCUAACGUUGACCCCUAAUCGGGGUUGCGGACAGUGUCUGGUGGGUAGUUUGACUGGGGCGGUCUCCUCCUAAAGAGUAACGGAGGAGCACGAAGGUUGGCUAAUCCUGGUCGGACAUCAGGAGGUUAGUGCAAUGGCAUAAGCCAGCUUGACUGCGAGCGUGACGGCGCGAGCAGGUGCGAAAGCAGGUCAUAGUGAUCCGGUGGUUCUGAAUGGAAGGGCCAUCGCUCAACGGAUAAAAGGUACUCCGGGGAUAACAGGCUGAUACCGCCCAAGAGUUCAUAUCGACGGCGGUGUUUGGCACCUCGAUGUCGGCUCAUCACAUCCUGGGGCUGAAGUAGGUCCCAAGGGUAUGGCUGUUCGCCAUUUAAAGUGGUACGCGAGCUGGGUUUAGAACGUCGUGAGACAGUUCGGUCCCUAUCUGCCGUGGGCGCUGGAGAACUGAGGGGGGCUGCUCCUAGUACGAGAGGACCGGAGUGGACGCAUCACUGGUGUUCGGGUUGUCAUGCCAAUGGCACUGCCCGGUAGCUAAAUGCGGAAGAGAUAAGUGCUGAAAGCAUCUAAGCACGAAACUUGCCCCGAGAUGAGUUCUCCCUGACUCCUUGAGAGUCCUGAAGGAACGUUGAAGACGACGACGUUGAUAGGCCGGGUGUGUAAGCGCAGCGAUGCGUUGAGCUAACCGGUACUAAUGAACCGUGAGGCUUAACCUU
rnacentral:rRNA from 1 species